rnacentral:rRNA from 1 species
AUUGAACGCUGGCGGCAGGCCUAACACAUGCAAGUCGAGCGGAUGAGUGGAGCUUGCUCCAUGAUUCAGCGGCGGACGGGUGAGUAAUGCGUAGGAAGCUGCCCGAUAGAGGGGGAUACCAGUUGGAAACGACUGUUAAUACCGCAUAAUGUCUACGGACCAAAGUGUGGGACCUUCGGGCCACAUGCUAUCGGAUGCGCCUACGUGGGAUUAGCUAGUUGGUGAGGUAAUGGCUCACCAAGGCGACGAUCUCUAGCUGGUUUGAGAGGAUGAUCAGCCACACUGGAACUGAGACACGGUCCAGACUCCUACGGGAGGCAGCAGUGGGGAAUAUUGGACAAUGGGCGCAAGCCUGAUCCAGCCAUGCCGCGUGUGUGAAGAAGGCCUUCGGGUUGUAAAGCACUUUCAGCGAGGAGGAAGGGGUGUGUGUUAAUAGUACACACCUUUGACGUUACUCGCAGAAGAAGCACCGGCUAACUCUGUGCCAGCCGCCGCCGUAAGAC